CAGGGAAUCUUGCGCAAUGGGCGAAAGCCUGACGCAGCGACACCGCGUGGGGGAAGAAGGCUUUCGGGUUGUAAACCCCUUUUCUCGGGGAAGAGUAAGGACGGUACCCGAGGAAUAAGCCUCGGCUAACUACGUGCCAGCAGCCGCGGUAAGACGUAGGAGGCGAGCGUUGUCCGGAUUUACUGGGCGUAAAGGGCGAGUAGGCGGCCCGCCAAGUCUCAUGUGAAAUCUCUCGGCUCAACUGGGAGGGGUCAUGGGAAACUGGUGGGCUCGAGGGCAGUAGAGGAGAGUGGAAUUCCCGGAGUAGCGGUGAAAUGCGUAGAUACCGGGAGGAACACCCGAGGCGAAGGCGACUCUCUGGGCUGCACCUGACGCUGAGGCGCGAGAGCAUGGGGAGCGAACCGG
rnacentral:rRNA from 2 species